rnacentral:rRNA from 1 species
GAUGAACGCUGGCGGCGUGCCUAAUACAUGCAAGUCGAGCGAACCGACGAGGAGCUUGCUCCUCUUACGUUAGCGGCUGACGGGUGAGUAACACGUGGAUAACCUACCUAUCAGACUGGGAUAACUUCGGGACACCGGAGCUAAUACCGGAUAAUAUAUUGAACCGCAUGGUUCAAUAGUUAAAGACGGUUUUGCUGUCACUUAUAGUUGGAUUCGCGCAGCUUUAUCUAGUUGGUAAGGUAACGGCUUACCAAGGCAACAAUGCGUAGCCGACCUGAGAGAGUGAUCGGCCACACUAACACGGAGACACGGUCCGGACCCCUACGGGAGACAGCAAUACGGAAUCAUACGCAAGGGGAGACAACCUGACAGAGCAACACCGCAGGAGUGAUGAAGGCCUGCGGACCAUAUAACUCUGUGAUGAGGGAAGAACGAAUGUGUAAGUAACUAUGCACGUCUUGACCGUACCGAGUCAGAAAGCCACGGCUAACUACGUG